rnacentral:rRNA from 1 species
CCUACGGGAGGCAGCAGUAGGGAAUCUUCCACAAUGGACGAAAGUCUGACGGAGCAACGCCGCGUGAACGAUGAAGGCCUUCGGGUCGUAAAGUUCUGUUGUCAGGGAAGAACAAGUACCGGAGUAACUGCCGGUACCUUGACGGUACCUAACCAGAAAGCCACGGCUAACUACGUGCCAGCAGCCGCGGUAAUACGUAGGUGGCAAGCGUUGUCCGGAAUUAUUGGGCGUAAAGCGCGCGCAGGCGGUCCUUUAAGUCUGAUGUGAAAGCCCACGGCUCAACCGUGGAGGGUCAUUGGAAACUGGGGGACUUGAGUGCAGAAGAGGAGAGUGGAAUUCCACGUGUAGCGGUGAAAUGCGUAGAGAUGUGGAGGAACACCAGUGGCGAAGGCGACUCUCUGGUCUGUAACUGACGCUGAGGCGCGAAAGCGUGGGGAGCAAACAGGAUUAGAUACCCUGGUAGUCCACGCCGUAAACGAUGAGUGCUAAGUGUUAGAGGGUUUCCGCCCUUUAGUGCUGCAGCUAACGCAUUAAGCACUCCGCCUGGGGAGUACGGCCGCAAGGCUGAAACUCAAAGGAAUUGACGG